AGGAGAAAACAAUUACAAGUUUUAUUAAUUUAUUACAUUUUCUAAAUGAAAGUAACUUGUAAUCUCAUACUACCAAAGGGAAAUUAGAGCUGCAUUGUCGAUUAUCAUUACGAAUCUAGUGUUUACUCCUUAAAAUGGAGGACAAUCCUGUAAUUGAAUUGAGGAAGUUGUGCUGCACUUGUUUAAGUACAGAUCGGAAAGUAAUACAACUUUGUAAGAUACAUAAUGGUGUAAACAACUUAUAUUUACUCUUAUCUUACGAUGCAGAAGCUUAUAAAGAAGGUUUCUACAAGGACUCAGCAAGUUUGUACAUUUGCUGGGAGUGUCGAGCCCAUAUGAGGCGUGUAGUGCUGUUCCGGCAGCAGGUUUGCACCGCUCAAAAACUGCUUUCUUGCAUUGCUGAAGGACGGACUGAUACUAAAACCUUCAAGUCCCUAUCGCACCUCACCCACGACCACAAGUCGUCAUUUGACCACUCUAUCGCGGCACUAUCACCAGUUAUAGACAACUUUAUAGAUUGCAAUGCCGUGGAGGAUAUAAAGACAGAGAUAGAAGACCCAGAGGAUGUUCCGCUGUCUCAGCUUAAUGGACAUGGUGGGAUAAAUAACAGCUUUAUGUCAGAAGAAGAUUUAUCAAAAAAAGACUUCGAAACCGAAGAGACACCGUUAUCGGAAUUAACCGACAACUUUACCGAUGAAGACUACACUCCUAAAGAAAUAAUCACAAAUAAGAAACCUAAAAGAUUAAAAAAGAAAGGAAAGAUAAAAAAGAAAACAAGUAAGAAAGGAAAAGAUGUAGGAACAAGUGAAGAUCUGGUAGAGGACUCGAGUAGUUUGGGUGUAGUGAAAUGUGAACCGUGUGCGGAAGUAUUUAGAAGUUCAAUCGAAUUGGAGGAACAUAACAUAGCAAUACAUAGUGAGAGUCAAAGAAGGACAACAGCGGUCAACCCGGGGUCGAAACCCCGUCGCAACCCCACCAUGAUGGACAAACCGACACCAUACGGUUAUCAAUGUAUGGAGUGUGCCAAGUAUUUCGACAAUAAAAACCAGCGCUGGAAGCACGUCCAGCGCGUGCACCGCGAGGGUUACCGCUGCCACUCCUGCGGGAAGCGCUUCGCCUUCAAAAACAACCUUACACGCCAUGAGCAACUCCACGCGGGCCCGCCGCCACGGGAGGAGUGUCCAGUCUGCCACAAGAUGAUCCGCACGGAUCUCGUCAAAGUACACGCGCGUAUACACACGGCACGAGAGAGGUAUUCGUGCUGUAUAUGCGACAAAAGCUUCGUGAGCCGCGCCUCGUAUCAGCAUCACCUCAAGUACACACAAGCACACGCCGCAAUCGACAUACUCAAGUACAAAUGCAGUAUGUGUGACAAGGGCUACCGGUCACGCGGCGAACUGCGCGAUCACGAGAAUUACCAGCACAAGGGGGAGACGCAGCACAAGUGCCCCAUAUGUGGGAAGGGUCUAGCCACACGUCGCUGCAUAACUAGGCACGUGAGGCGAGCCCACGAUGGCAUUAAGGAGAGCGCUCGAGACAAGAUCUGCCAACAAUGCGGGAAGGCUUUCAGGGACAAGAAAGGCCUCCGCGAACACGAGUGGAUCCAUACCGGGGAGCGCCCUCUGUCGUGCUCAGAGUGCGGCUGCUCGUUCCGACAGAGCGCCUCGCUCUAUACGCAUCGUAAACGCGUCCACCACAUACACACGCCCAAGAAGCUAGUUACAAACAUCUCGCAAUAAAAAAAAAUAUUGUUUUAAGUUUACGCAGUUAUUGGUGCUAAUUCCUGUAAACACCAUCUAAUUUUAUUUUAAGUUAUAUCUGUCAUUUUCUUAUCCGCCGAAAAGGAAAGGGACGGGUAAUCGACAAGCAUAAAAUUUAUGGAACACACGUAAAUUUUAAGCACAAAUCUAAACCAACCGUCUAAAAAUUUUACAUCCGUCAAUAACCCGACACAGUUAAGAAGACAGCACGUCAAACGGAUUGCAUACCAGCGACGUACCUUUUGAUUCGCCCGGGUUAUUCAUUCAUUUACUCAUUCUUCCUAAAAUUAAGAGCUGUGAAUCAUCCGUCCCUUUCCUUUUCGACGGAUAUGAAAAUAACGGAUAUAACUUAAAAUAUAAUUAGGCGGUGUCUGCAGGAAUCGGGGCCAU
rnacentral:misc_RNA from 1 species